rnacentral:piRNA from 1 species
UUUCGGGUUCUUGAUAACAGU